rnacentral:rRNA from 1 species
UCGAUUAUUUGGUCAGAGUAAGAGGUUAGUGAUCUCAAAUUGCGAGACAUGGUAUUUUUAGAGAUGUUGGGCGUGGAAUCGAUUAGCUAAAUGUUUAAGCGGGACUUAAACUGACGUGAUAGCUAGUUUAUUAUGGGUUUUAAGAAAAUUGGAGGUCCCCAGUGUUAUUCCCCAACUCCAGUCCUAAACUUUAUGUUAAUAAAGAAAUUUAGAAUUAGAAAAUGAGAAAAAAAGGAAGGAAACAAAGUGCCAGCACCUGCGGUUAAACUUUCUCCUUUAGGUAACCUACCCGUGGUUUAGAGAAAAAGAAGAAAUAUUAAAAGAAGAAAACUCAUUACUUUUGGUGGAAUAAAAAUAUGUAAGAAGAAGUUGCUUUAAUCUUAAAAACUUAUAGCUUGAAGCCUGAUACACUAAACCUGGGGUAGAGAUCCAGCUAUUGAAGGUGUCAAAUAAAACUGCGGCGACUACGAGCAAAACGCUUAAAAGUUAAAGGACUUGGCGGUGCAUCAUAUCCUGUUAGGGGAACUUGGCGGUUAAAUCGAUGAUCCCCGUAUUACUUUACCCUCUUUUUUUUCCUAUACCGCCGUUUAGUUUCACCAGGAUGGAGAUGAGUAUGGCGAGUGGUCAUAAAAUGGAAAAAAUUAAUUAAAAUUAAAUAAAUAUCCCAAGUAAUUCAGGUAAACGUGGGGAUUAUAAGAGGGGCUUAGCUGAGUUACAAAUUUUAAAAAGAGCGGAAAUUAAGCUGAAAAGCUUUUAUUGAAGGUGGACUUAAUAGUAAAAUUUUAUAAAAAGGAAAUUUGAAUAGAGUUUUGAUGUGAGUACAAAUCGCCCGGUGCCCCCGUAUAAGAGAAGAUGGGGUAAGCCGUAACAUGGUAGUGCUACUGGAAGGUGGUGCUGUAUA